AGAGUUUGAUCCUGGCUCAGAUUGAACGCUGGCGGCAUGCUUAAUACAUGCAAGUCGAACGGUAACAGAUUCUUCGGAAUGCUGACGAGUGGCGGACGGGUGAGUAAUACAUAGGAAUCUGCCCAUGUAGUGGGGGACAACUUGGGGAAACUCAAGCUAAUACCGCAUAAUUCCUACGGGAUAAAGAGGGCCACUGCUUGCAAGCUCUUGCUACUGGAUGAGCCUAUGUCGGAUUAGUUAGUUGGUAAGGUAAUGGCUUACCAAGACAGCGACCCGUAGCUGGUUUGAGAGGAUGAUCAGCCACACUGGGACUGAGACACGGCCCAGACUCCUACGGGAGGCAGCAGUAGGGAGUAUUGGACAAUGGGCGCAAGCCUGAUCCAGCAAUGCCGCGUGUGUGAAGAAGGCCUGCGGGUUGUAAAGCACUUUCAAUUGGGAAGAAAGAUUAUGAGUUAAUACCUUAUAAUAUGACGU
rnacentral:rRNA from 1 species